AUCGGGGCUGGCGGGAGCCUGAGACUCCGGGCAGGGCUGCUCCCUCCUCUGCUCCCCCGCCAGAUCCGCAGGGAAGGAAUCGUGCCCGCGCCGCCCCUGGCCCGCGCCACCUUCCUUUGGUUUCUGCCGGCCUCGGGCUUCUGCGGCCCGAUGCGGCAGGCGCCGCGAGAGAGGCAGCAGCCGGCUGGAGCAGCGGCCCCCCAGGUCGCGGAGCCCGGUGCGCCCCUGCGGUCGUCGCUCCUGGGCCUCGGCGGGUCACUCUUGCCGGCCGGCUUCGCUGCGGGUUUGCACUGCGCGGGGUGGCACCUGUGGAAAUGAAACGGAGAAAUAAGAUCCAGCCUUGUUUAUCAAAGCCAGCUU
rnacentral:sRNA from 1 species